AGGCCCAGCGGAUACUACGAGCGGCUGAUCUGCUCCUGGCCAGGUGUGCCAAGGCCCAAACUGCCAGGGAAAUCCGGGAGGGUGUGGAGCACCUGCGGAGCCUCCUGGCCAGCCUCCCUUCCCUGCUUAUGGAAACAAGUGGGAAUACCACGGAGCAGCUCCAGGUCCUGUGCUGUGCCUGGGCCAGAGCCACCAACAGCCUCCUGUGCUGCUUUGAGGAGACCAUCGGCAUGAGGGAAUUCCUUGAGUUAUCCAUCCUGGAGCUGGCCAAGCAAAAGGAAUGGUGUGAAGUGGCACUGGAAUGCUGGGAUCCUGAGGGAUUCUCCUGGCACACUGCUCACCUCAUGGGCUGGGCGCGCUGGGUGGUCGGAGCCUCCACCCGGCACGUGGACAGGAUCACGGAUCCCAUCUUUAGAAAUGGUUUGCUGGUGUGGGUGGAGCAAUUGGCCAAAUCCAUCCUGGAGCUGGGAGCAGUCACGGCCCUCAUUCCAGGAAGGUUUUCCUGCCUCCAAAGCCAGGAUGCUUUUUCUCAGGCAGCAAGCUCCCUGAUGGACUCUGCUCUCUCUGUCCAAGCUGGGCUGGAUGGGUCCAACCACCCGGACAUCCUCAGCCCGCUCCGAGAGCAAGUGCGGAGCACCAAGGUGAAAAAGGGGCUGGAGUUCAGCCCAUCCCACACUGGGACACAAACCAGUAUGGAUGAGGCAGCAUUCCAAGAAGAUAUCCAAAAUCAUCCAUCUUCACCACCAGCUAACUUCCACCUGGAUCCAUGGAAAGGGGAUACACACCCUGUCAUCACAGCUCUCCUGGGAGCAUCCCGAGCUGGUGACACAGACACUGUCCGUGCUGCUUGCUCCAUCCUGCUGGAGCUCUCCAAUGGCUAUGUAGAAACUGCACAGGAAGCGCUGCCUGUGGCUGAAGCCCCCCAGCUCCAGGUGCUGGAGCAGCACUGGGAUAUCAAGGCACUUACCCCAAGGAUUGUCAGCCUGGCCAUGGAAACAGCCCACGGGCAGCUCCCUGCUCCAGGAAGGCUUCUCCUAAUGGCACUCAGGCUCUCAGGACAUAUCCAGGAGACUCAGGAGUGCCUGGCAGCUGUGGCAGGUUCUUGGAAUGGUCUGGCCCAGCAAGUGCUUGGAUUUAUCCUGUCAGGCGACUUUCCAAGAGGGAAGCAGGCUUUGGACGAGACCCUGCUGGGUUUAGCAAGAGCAGUGCAGGUGGCAGGAGACAUCGCAAACACAGUCAGCAGUAGGGAAAAUCCCAGUCCUUCUCAUGUCCAGGAGAGUUUUCUGCAGCUCCAAGCCAAGUUUUCCUGUGCUCAGCUGAAUACCAAAGGAUUCCUGGAGAAGGCAGUGUCCUUCAGGGAAUCCUGUGGGAUGGAAAAGGCCAUCCUGGAGCUGCAUGGUGUCCGGUGGGCCAUUGGCAUGUGUGUCCUGCUGGAUACCAUGGAUCAGUUCAUGGGCAGGGAUGUCCUGUUCCUGAGGGAGCUGAGCAGAGCUGUGAGGAACAAGGUUGGCCCACAGAGCUGCCUGGCUGCCGUGGCUGAGAAUUCCCUCAGGUUGCAGGAGGCUGCCCGGCUCUCCUACUUAUCCUGCCCUGGAGACCACGGUGCCAGAGAAAUCCUGGUGCUCCGGGAAGAGAUACAAGUGCUCAUGGAAGCACUGCUGGAUGUGUCCAACACCCUUCUGCUCUCCCCAUUGCCUACUGCCAGCUUGGUCAUUCGCUUUGAGCUCCUGCAUAGGGACGUGGCCCUCAGGGCCAAGGUGUUGUUGCUCCACAUGGAAAGGGUCAACAUGGAACAGCUGCAGCUCAUCCAAGAUGUGGUUGGAGCAGCUCUGUCCAACCUCACCCAAGAGGAAAGGGAGAGGAGCAAAGAAAGUUUUGAGAAGAAAGCAAAUCAGCUUAUGGCUGAUGUCCAGAGGGUCAGAAACACCCUCUGGGGUGCUCUGGAGGCUGGUGCUCAACUUACGUCACAGCCUGACCUGCUAUCCAUGGCUGACCACCUCCUGCUCCUCACGGCUGACGUGGUGGGAAGCGCCUGGCGGCACUUCCGAAGCCACCAGGACACUGGGGAUCCCCACCUGGAUGUCAUGGUGUGGUACUGGUCAGCCAAGGCACACUACCUUGCCACACAGCUCUGGGUUAUCCAUGGAAUCGACAGGGACAUCCUGCAGUGCCUCACAGAAUGUCUGCAGCGGGAGCGCUUCCCAGGAUCACCCAACAGCACAGCUGGACCCUGCCCAGCCCCAGAGCCCACUGAGGCAGCAGGAAUUCAUCCAUGCAGGAGCAGAGGAAAACACCCAGGUGGAGGAGACCACUCUGCAUCGCUGUGUCCACACAUUCCAGGUUUGGAAUCUGCUCCAUUACUGCCUCAACAGCACCAGGAUGGCCCUUCCAACAUCUCCCCUGCAAAGCAGGAGAGAGGAAACUCUGACAAGUGGCAAGGUGGCUCCAGCAGUGUGUCCCAAGUGACCCAAGACAUGGCCACGAGGAUGUUCCACAUGGCUCAGUUCCUGCGGAGGAAGGGCCCCAUUGCGAGCAAGGAGCAGUUUGUUGCCUGUGCCAGGCAAAUGGUUGCCGAUGGGCAAGUGGUUGUUAAGUUUGGGAACAUCCUCGCCAAGCACUGCCUGGACCAGAGAUGCUCCAUGGAGCUGCUCCAUAGCACUGAGCACACUCAAUCCAUCAGCAGCCAGCUCAGCAUCGUGGCCAGGUGA
rnacentral:lncRNA from 1 species